AGAGUUUGAUCAUGGCUCAGGAUGAACGCUAGCGGCAGGCUUAACACAUGCAAGUCGAGGGGUAGAGCACUUCGGUGCUUGAGACCGGCGCACGGGUGCGUAACGCGUAUGCAAUCUGCCUUUCACAGAGGGAUAGCCCAGAGAAAUUUGGAUUAAUACCUCAUAGCAUACUAAGUUGGCAUCAACAUAGUAUUAAAGUCACAACGGUGAAAGAUGAGCAUGCGUCCCAUUAGCUAGUUGGUAAGGUAACGGCUUACCAAGGCGACGAUGGGUAGGGGUCCUGAGAGGGAGAUCCCCCACACUGGUACUGAGACACGGACCAGACUCCUACGGGAGGCAGCAGUGAGGAAUAUUGGUCAAUGGGCGCAAGCCUGAACCAGCCAUGCCGCGUGCAGGAUGACGGUCCUAUGGAUUGUAAACUGCUUUUGUACGGGAAGAAACACUCCUUCGUGAAGGAGCUUGACGGUACCGUAAGAAUAAGGAUCGGCUAACUCCGUGCCAGCAGCCGCGGUAAUACGGAGGAUCCAAGCGUUAUCCGGAAUCAUUGGGUUUAAAGGGUCCGUAGGCGGUCUUGUAAGUCAGUGGUGAAAGCCCAUCGCUCAACGGUGGAACGGCCAUUGAUACUGCAGGACUUGAAUUAUUGGGAAGUAACUAGAAUAUGUAGUGUAGCGGUGAAAUGCUUAGAGAUUACAUGGAAUACCAAUUGCGAAGGCAGGUUACUACCAAUUUAUUGACGCUGAUGGACGAAAGCGUGGGUAGCGAACAGGAUUAGAUACCCUGGUAGUCCACGCCGUAAACGA
rnacentral:rRNA from 1 species